rnacentral:rRNA from 1 species
CCUACGGGAGGCAGCAGCGGGGAAUAUUGCACAAUGGGCGCAAGCCUGAUGCAGCGACGCCGCGUGAGGGAUGACGGCCUUCGGGUUGUAAACCUCUUUCAGUAGGGAAGAAGCGAAAGUGACGGUACCUGCAGAAGAAGCGCCGGCUAACUACGUGCCAGCAGCCGCGGUAAUACGUAGGGCGCAAGCGUUAUCCGGAAUUAUUGGGCGUAAAGAGCUCGUAGGCGGUUUGUCGCGUCUGCCGUGAAAGUCCGGGGCUCAACUCCGGAUCUGCGGUGGGUACGGGCAGACUAGAGUGAUGUAGGGGAGACUGGAAUUCCUGGUGUAGCGGUGAAAUGCGCAGAUAUCAGGAGGAACACCGAUGGCGAAGGCAGGUCUCUGGGCAUUAACUGACGCUGGGGAGCGAAAGCAUGGGGAGCGAACAGGAUUAGAUACCCUGGUAGUCCAUGCCGUAAACGUUGGGCACUAGGUGUGGGGGACAUUCCACGUUUUCCGCGCCGUAGCUAACGCAUUAAGUGCCCCGCCUGGGGAGUACGGCCGCAAGGCUAAAACUCAAAGGA